UAAAGCAGAAGUUUCAGAAAACCAGCUAAGAGAAGCAACCCAGUUGUUUUACUUAGCGUUCUUUGAUCGUUCUUGGGUCCCAGGUAGCCACUCGUAUAUUUUCAGAGGGUCUUUCUAGUGGGACAAAAAGUGUUCAACAAAGAUAAAAUCAUUGGACAUUAUUAACUUUCUCAAACGCAUUGUAGGAAAAAUCUUUCUGGAACUGUAAACAAGUGAAUUACCUAGUUUCUGAAUAGGCAAUUUGGGUUUGGAGAACUGUUUAUUGAGUGCUGCGUAAUUCGUAACACUUCACUAAGUCACGUGGCUAUUAUUAUGCCUGCACGGAAUGCUUAGAUACGAUCUUAAGAUGAACCUUAUCAGUGAAGGAGGAGGGCUUGAACCAGCACGCUUGAGUCUUACUGAAGGUAAUACUGCGUGAUCAACCUUCACUAAGCAUAGUCAAGGCAUGCCAUUAUCUUCAUAACUACUAUAUCCAACAAAGUUUAUAAAUAUGGAACAGCAGAGUAUGAGGGUUUUCAUUAUGACAACGAACAUCAGCUGUCUGGUAUUUUAUGUACAUCAACGAGUAAAUGUAUUAAAGACGUUAUAAAUUC
rnacentral:misc_RNA from 1 species